AUUGAACGCUGGCGGCAGGCUUAACACAUGCAAGUCGAACGAUGAAACCUAGCUUGCUAGGUGGAUUAGUGGCAGACGGGUGAGUACAACUUAGGAAUCUACCUAUUAGCGGGGGAUAGCUCGGGGAAACUCGAAUUAAUACCGCAUACACCUUACGAGGGAAAGGGGCCUGACCACUAAAUUUAAUUUAUAGUGUAUUUUAUUUACAAUAAUAUAAUUAAGUUAAAUUUAGUGGUCAGGUCUCACUAAUAGAUGAGCCUAAGCAAGAUUAGCUAGUUGGUGGGGUAAAAGCCUACCAAGGCGACGAUCUUUAGCUGGUCUGAGAGGAUGAUCAGCCACACUGGGACUGAGACACGGCCCAGACUCCUACGGGAGGCAGCAGUGGGGAAUAUUGGACAAUGGGGGCAACCCUGAUCCAGCCAUGCCGCGUGUGUGAAGAAGGCCUUUUGGUUGUAAAGCACUUUAAGCAGUGAGGAAAAGCUAUAUGCUAAUACCAUAUAGCCCUGACGUUAACUGCAGAAUAAGCACCGGCUAACUCUGUGCCAGCAGCCGCGGUAAUACAGAGGGUGCAAGCGUUAAUCGGAAUUACUGGGCGUAAAGCGAACGUAGGUGGUCAAUUAAGUCAGAUGUGAAAUCCCUGAGCUCAACUUAGGAACUGCAUCUGAUACUGAUAGACUAGAGUAGGUGAGAGGAGAGUAGAAUUCCAGGUGUAGCGGUGAAAUGCGUAGAUAUCUGGAGGAAUACCGAUGGCGAAGGCAGCUCUCUGGCAUCGUACUGACACUGAGGUUCGAAAGCGUGGGUAGCAAACGGG
rnacentral:rRNA from 1 species